UACGAAGGGGGCUAGCGUUGUUCGGAUUUACUGGGCGUAAAGCGCACGUAGGCGGAUUGUUAAGUCAGGGGUGAAAUCCUGGAGCUCAACUCCAGAACUGCCUUCGAUACUGGCGAUCUCGAGUCCGGAAGAGGUGAGUGGAACUCCUAGUGUAGAGGUGGAAUUCGUAGAUAUUAGGAAGAACACCAGUGGCGAAGGCGGCUCACUGGUCCGGUACUGACGCUGAGGCGCGAAAGCAUGGGGAGCGAACGGG
rnacentral:rRNA from 1 species